ensembl:lncRNA
AUCUCUCCCUUCAGUUGGAUUUAAAAGAAAACACGCCUCCUGUGUCCUGUACUUCUCGGGUCUUCCUGCCUGGGUGCCCUGGGUCCCGGGAGCGGCUCCCGAGCACGAGUGAUGGUCCUGAGGAGACAGGUGGUGGGUAAUGGGCUGCAGAGGCUGCAUCUCACCCAGAGAUGCUUGGUUGACAUAUUCACUUUCUUACCUCAGGUCUGAAACCAGGGGGAGUGAUUCCCGCGUGGCUGAGAGCCAUAAAGUGCACGAUUGUGGGGAAGGUCCCAGCUGACCCCAAGUGGGGGCUGACCAUUAGCCCUCACCCAGGGACGCAGUGUGGUCUCACCUCUGGUCUCCGUUGGCCUGACGGCUGAGAGGGUAGAAGAGCCCUUUAGUGCAGUCCCAAAGUCCCCAAGAGCCGGGGCCUCUGGCCUCCUGAUCCAGGGCCGCAGGGGUCUCUUCUAGGCCCCCCAACCAGAGCGGCUGGUCCUGACGUCAGAGGAAGCCAGACAUGUGUGGUCCUCAGCUUAUGUGCUCAGGAGGGGUGAGGGUGUUGGUGUGGGAGUCAGCUGGACGACGGGCAGCUGGGGAGGUUCCCUGAGCUGGGGAGGGGCCCUGUGGUUCUCACGCUGCCGCGACCACCUCUGUUUGCUCAGAAUGCCCUGGAGGGUCAGAACCUUGCAGGACAUUGGUGCCUACGCCCCUUGGGGUCUGGCCUUGGCAGCGACCAGGGCCUAAGCUGGGAAGUAGAUGGUGGGGCAUCAGCAGUGGCUGCUGCAGACUGAGCACCGGAAGACCCUUCCCCAAAUGUCAGAGUUUGUUAGACCCCAGGCCUCGGGAGACAAAGAGGGGCGGCCUAUGGACGGGAUUUAACUUCCAUCAUCCGGCAGGUUGGGCUGUUACGGGAGUUCAACAGGCAGACUCCACGCGGCAGCCCCUGCUGUCACAGGUGCGGCCUGACAACCCCUGUCACCUGGGCUUGGCCCAGGUACUGGCCUCCAGAACUGAAGCCAACGCCUUUGGAGACACAACCGCCGUUGGUCCUGUUGGAAGUGGCGCCCCGACACAAACAUGGGUGUUUUGAGUCUAUUUAUCACGCGUGUGUAACGAAACUGUCUCCCUGCGGGAAUGUUGAUGGGUUUGCUUAUGGGAUCCUUCCCGAGCCCCUGGGUGCUGGAGGAGGGUAGGUGCAUCUUCCGAGUUUCGUGAGGCAUCUGGCCAGGGUUUUGGUCAGGGCUUGGCGGUUGUCUAGACGCGGAGGGGACAAGCUCCUGCCCCCACCAGCUGAGCUCUGUGUGUGAGCUCUGCGUGAACACGCAUGGGUCCUCGAUCAUGCGCUGAAGCAAGCAGACCCUGUGUGUGUCGAGUGGGCUGUCCUCAUCUACGGCAGGUGUGCCCCACAGCCCGGGGUCAGCAUGCGGCUCCGAGAAGCGAGGCUGGAGAGGAUGCCGUCUGGCUGCAGACAGGAGUGUCUUAGGACACAUUGCUGCUCAGAGUUUUGGAUUCAGAGUGACCCUUCUGUAGACGGCAUCCAUAAGAACCCCCACAGCUGGAUCAAGUGCAAAUGCUCCCUGGGGGUCCUGGACAUGCAAACUUCCCAGGACACACAUCCUGGACACACAGACUGUCCUAGGACAUGCAGACUUCCCUGGACACAGAGACCAUCCUGGACAUACGACCACCCUGGACACACAGAUCACCCUGGACACACAGACUUCCCUGGACACGCAGACCACCCUGGACACACAGACUUCCCUGGACACGCAGACCUCCCAGGACACACAGAUGUCCUGGACAUGCAGACCACCCUGGACACACAGAUGUCCUGGACACGCAGACCAUCCUGGACACGCAGACCACCCUGGACACACAGACUGUCCUGGGCAGGCCAUGUGGGCCGGGCCUUGCAGGGCCAGCCUCCAGUGGAGCUGUUUGAUAUUGUGACACUUUGCUCCUGGGGGUUAAUCAAGUCUUUAACACACAAAGGCGCUCAGUUCACGCCAUAAAUCAAACACCGACAGGCUGCCUCCUGGCAUCUCGUUCUGUUUACCUAGAGCAGUUGCACAGAACCAACUUUGAGAACAACUGGGUUGCAGAAGGUGGUCGUCAAGGACGCACCUGGUGGGUUAUCUGGUGUCGUGUGCAACGGAUGGAGAGUUCAGGCCACUUGAGGAGAGUCCAGCAGAAUUCCCAACAGAUUAAACUGGGGGAAGACCAACAAGGCACCGAGGUGACGACGUGAAGAAAGUGCGAGAGUUUGAAGAUCUCGCGAACCUGUGUUCUCUUCCUGCAGGAGGUCGUCGGUUGGCUGAUGGAAACCACAUGGGCUGUCACAUUGGCCAAGUGCGUGCUUGGCGUCGUGUGGUAUGUUUGUGGACCUGCACACGUGUAGCCAAUUAUAUCACUGCCUGUGUACACACACACACGCGCACACACACAUACACACACAUACACACACACACACACACACACACACGUUGGGCCUCUGUCUGGUUUUCCUGGGAGACCAUCGUCAAAGUUUUGUUUUCAUUUGUUUCCUUCUCUUCCUGAGGGUCUGUCUUUUAUGUUAAUUACUUUCUCUCUAAUCUCUGCUCCCCCUUCAUCAUCCCAAAUCUGUUCUUCUCCCUUUUCCGUGUUUCCAG